UUUCCGUAGGUGAACCUGCGGAAGGAUCAUUAUUGAAUAAACCUGCUGUGGCUGUUAGCUGGCUUUUCGAAGCAUGUGCUCGUCCGUCAUCUUUAUCUCUCCACCUGUGCACAUUUUGUAGUCUUGGAUACCUCUCGAGGCAACUCGGAUUUUAGGGUUGCUGUGCUGUACAAGUCGGCUUUCCUUUCAUUUCCAAGAUUAUGUUUUUAUAUACACCAAAGUAUGUUUAAAGAAUGUCAUCAAUAGGAACUUGUUUCCUGUAUAAUUAUACAACUUUCAGCAACGGAUCUCUUGGCUCUC
rnacentral:misc_RNA from 1 species